UUCAGGGAUAAACAGUCAGCUCACCUAUUUUUUUGCGAAAGGAAACAGUGAUGGUUUGUUCUCCAUCACUCCUGAUGGUACGCUUCACAUUUUACACAGCCUAGACAGGGAGGAGGAAUCCUUAUAUAUCAUCACCAUCACUGCUGUCGAUUCAGGAUUGCCACCUUUAACUGGGACUCUGACUUUACACAUUGUUGUGGAUGAUGUUAACGAUAACCACCCAGAGUUUACUGAGGAAGUCUACAACACCAUAGUGUCUGAGGACAGUCCCAUAGGAACAGUCUUUGCAAUGAUAACCGCAUCGGAUGCUGACGAGGGUGCAAGCGGGGAAAUGAGGUAUUUCAUGGAAAACCUUGAUGCACCUUUUGCCAUUGGGGAAACCUCUGGAGAGCUGGUUACUACUGAUAUACUGGACA